GAUGAACGCUGGCGGCGUGCCUAAUACAUGCAAGUCGAGCGAACGGACGAGAAGCUUGCUUCUCUGAUGUUAGCGGCGGACGGGUGAGUAACACGUGGAUAACCUACCUAUAAGACUGGGAUAACUUCGGGAAACCGGAGCUAAUACCGGAUAAUAUUUUGAACCGCAUGGUUCAAAAGUGAAAGACGGUCUUGCUGUCACUUAUAGAUGGAUCCGCGCUGCAUUAGCUAGUUGGUAAGGUAACGGCUUACCAAGGCAACGAUGCAUAGCCGACCUGAGAGGGUGAUCGGCCACACUGGAACUGAGACACGGUCCAGACUCCUACGGGAGGCAGCAGUAGGGAAUCUUCCGCAAUGGGCGAAAGCCUGACGGAGCAACGCCGCGUGAGUGAUGAAGGUCUUCGGAUCGUAAAACUCUGUUAUUAGGGAAGAACAUAUGUGUAAGUAACUGUGCACAUCUUGACGGUACCUAAUCAGAAAGCCACGGCUAACUACGUGCCAGCAGCCGCGGUAAUACGUAGGUGGCAAGCGUUAUCCGGAAUUAUUGGGCGUAAAGCGCGCGUAGGCGGUUUUUUAAGUCUGAUGUGAAAGCCCACGGCUCAACCGUGGAGGGUCAUUGGAAACUGGAAAACUUGAGUGCAGAAGAGGAAAGUGGAAUUCCAUGUGUAGCGGUGAAAUGCGCAGAGAUAUGGAGGAACACCAGUGGCGAAGGCGACUUUCUGGUCUGUAACUGACGCUGAUGUGCGAAAGCGUGGGGAUCAAACAGGAUUAGAUACCCUGGUAGUCCACGCCGUAAACGAUGAGUGCUAAGUGUUAGGGGGUUUCCGCCCCUUAGUGCUGCAGCUAACGCAUUAAGCACUCCGCCUGGGGAGUACGACCGCAAGGUUGAAACUCAAAGGAAUUGACGGGGACCCGCACAAGCGGUGGAGCAUGUGGUUUAAUUCGAAGCAACGCGAAGAACCUUACCAAAUCUUGACAUCCUUUGACAACUCUAGAGAUAGAGCCUUCCCCUUCGGGGGACAAAGUGACAGGUGGUGCAUGGUUGUCGUCAGCUCGUGUCGUGAGAUGUUGGGUUAAGUCCCGCAACGAGCGCAACCCUUAAGCUUAGUUGCCAUCAUUAAGUUGGGCACUCUAAGUUGACUGCCGGUGACAAACCGGAGGAAGGUGGGGAUGACGUCAAAUCAUCAUGCCCCUUAUGAUUUGGGCUACACACGUGCUACAAUGGACAAUACAAAGGGCAGCGAAACCGCGAGGUCAAGCAAAUCCCAUAAAGUUGUUCUCAGUUCGGAUUGUAGUCUGCAACUCGACGACAUGAAGCUGGAAUCGCUAGUAAUCGUAGAUCAGCAUGCUACGGUGAAUACGUUCCCGGGUCU
rnacentral:rRNA from 1 species